rnacentral:tRNA from 1 species
GCGCGCGUGGCGGAAUUGGCAGACGCACUAGCCUUAGGAGCUAGCGGGAAACCGUGGGGGUUCAAGUCCCUCUGCGCGCACCA